GUGCUUGCUUCGGCAGCACAUAUACUAAAAUUGGAACGAUACAGAGAAGAUUAGCAUGGCCCCUAUAAAAAAAAAAAGAAAUAAAAUAAAAAAUAAAAUACCAUCUCUGU